CCCAUUUCACAGACUGAAAGUCAAGUUCGGCCUCCAGGGCUGUGGUGGAGAAUGCUGCUGCUCCCUCUAUAGCUGUGUGGCUCUGGAAACUCAGAAUUUGGAAGAAGUACCAUGAAUCCUUCCUUCCUCAAUAUCUGAAGAAAAGCCACCCUUCUGCUUUUAUCUGAUAUGAAGAAACCAGGACGGAGCAGCUAAGGAUGUGUUGAAGCAUACACAGCCGGGGAGUGGUGACAUUUAGGAUUUGAACGGAAAACCAGAACCCAUCAUCCUAACCAUAAUAAAUGAGCAAGAUGAAAUUCAUGAAGGUGACGCGGUCUCUCACCGGCUGAGCCAGGCUUUCAGCACUCAACCGGCCGACCUUCUGACAGUCCCGAGAGCCCCACGCAGCGACCAGCGCAAGAGAGCUUGGACUCUGAAGACCCUGGAGCCGGUCUGAGCCGGACCAAUCACCAGCUGCCGGACUUUUGGGCAAGUGCUUUUAGCUUUUCUGAACUCAUCCGUCUACGCCCGUGGCUGGUUUGAAAUUUGUGCUCUGGAUUUCGCUCCAUCAUCUAAGCUGCCUUUAUUUAAGGGUUUGGACUUUUUGUACUUAGAGAGAGACACUUUUUUUUUUUUUUAAAGGAAA